rnacentral:rRNA from 1 species
AGCAGCCGCGGUAAUUCCAGCCCCUUAUAGCGUAUAUUAAAGUUGUUUGCAGUUAAAAAGCUCGUAGCUUGAAUUUCGGGAUUAGUACGUUGGUCGUGCCUUAGGUACGUACUGGUGUUACUGGUUCCUACCUUCUGACGAACCAUCAUGUCAUUAAUUUGGUGUGGCGGGGAAUCAGGACUGUUACUUUGAAAAAAUUAGAGUGUUUAAAGCAGGCUCGCGCUUGAAUACAUUAGCAUGGAAUAAUGAAAUAGGACGUUGACCCUAUUUUGUUGGUUUCUAGGAUUGACGUAAUGAUUAAUAGGGAUAGUUGGGGCAUUAGUAUUCAAUUGUCAGAGGUGAAAUUCUUGGAUUUAUUGAAGACUAACUACUGCGAAAGCAUUUGCCAAGGAUGUUUCCAUUAAUCAAGAACGAAAGUUAGGGGAUCGAAGACGAUCAGAUACCGUCGUAGUCUUAACCAUAAACUAUGCCGACUAGGGAUCGGAUGAUGUUAAUUUUUUAAUGACUCA